GAUGAACGCUGGCGGCGUGCUUAACACAUGCAAGUCGAACGGGAAACCUUUUAUUGAAGCUUCGGCAGAUUUAGCUGGUUUCUAGUGGCGGACGGGUGAGUAACGCGUGGGUAACCUGCCUUAUACAGGGGGAUAACAACCAGAAAUGGUUGCUAAUACCGCAUAAGCGCACAGGACCGCAUGGUCCGGUGUGAAAAACUCCGGUGGUAUAAGAUGGACCCGCGUUGGAUUAGCUAGUUGGCAGGGUAACGGCCUACCAAGGCGACGAUCCAUAGCCGGCCUGAGAGGGUGAACGGCCACGUUGGGACUGAGACACGGCCCAGACUCCUACGGGAGGCAGCAGUGGGGAAUAUUGCACAAUGGGGGAAACCCUGAUGCAGCGACGCCGCGUGAAGGAAGAAGUAUCUCGGUAUGUAAACUUCUAUCAGCAGGGAAGAUAGUGACGGUACCUGACUAAGAAGCCCCGGCUAACUACGUG
rnacentral:rRNA from 1 species